rnacentral:ncRNA from 1 species
CAAAGGUUUGGUCCUGACUUUACGAUCAACUUUGACCCAGCUUACACAUGCAAGUAUCCGCACCCCAGUGAGAAUGCCCUCAAUCCCCCGUCCGGAAACGAGGAGCCGGUAUCAGGCACACCCCCUUAGCCCACGACGCCUUGCUACGCCACACCCCCAAGGGAACUCAGCAGUGAUAAACAUUAAGCCAUAAGUGAAAACUUGACUUAGUUAGGGUCAAGAGGGCCGGUAAAACUCGUGCCAGCCACCGCGGUUAUACGAGAGACCCUAGUUGACCAUCACGGCGUAAAGCGUGGUUAAAGGACCCCUAUAAAUAAAGCCAAAGACCUCCCAAGCUGUCGCACGCACCCCGGAGGCACGAAGCCCACACACGAAAGUAGCUUUAACUACAAACCUCGAUGCCACGAAAGCUAAGAAACAAACUGGGAUUAGAUACCCCACUAUGCUUAGCCUUAAACUCAGAUGUUACACGCACAAACAACAUCCGCCCGGGUACUACAAGCGCUAGCUCGAAACCCAAAGGACUUGACGGUGCCUCAGACCCACCUAGAGGAGCCUGUUCUAGAACCGAUGAUCCCCGUUAAACCUCACCAUCUCUUGCCCUUCCCGCCUAUAUACCGCCGUCGCAAGCUUACCCCGUGAGGGCCCCAUAGUAAGCAAAAAGAGUAAAUCCCAAAACGUCAGGUCGAGGUGUAGCUUACGAGAUGGAAAGAAAUGGGCUACAUUUUCUAUCACAGAAUAUUUACGAAUAGCACCCUGAAACCAGUGCUUGAAGGUGGAUUUAGUAGUAAAAAAUAAACAGAGCGUAUUUUUGAAAUAGGCUCUGAGGCGCGCACACACCGCCCGUCACUCUCCCCUAUAACCGUUCAAAACAGUAACUAACCAGACACACCAUAAAACGGGGAGGCAAGUCGUAACAUGGUAAGUGUACCGGAAGGUGCACUUGGCACAU